rnacentral:rRNA from 1 species
GCGUGCGAUACAGGGUGACAGCCCCGUACACAAAAAUGCACAUAUUGUGAGCUCGAUGAGUAGGGCGGGACACGUGGUAUCCUGUCUGAAUAUGGGGGGACCAUCCUCCAAGGCUAAAUACUCCUGACUGACCGAUAGUGAACCAGUACCGUGAGGGAAAGGCGAAAAGAACCCCGGCGAGGGGAGUGAAAAAGAACCUGAAACCGUGUACGUACAAGCAGUGGGAGCCUCUUAAUGGGGUGACUGCGUACCUUUUGUAUAAUGGGUCAGCGACUUAUAUUCUGUAGCAAGGUUAACCGAAUAGGGGAGCCGAAGGGAAACCGAGUCUUAACUGGGCGUUAAGUUGCAGGGUAUAGACCCGAAACCCGGUGAUCUAGCCAUGGGCAGGUUGAAGGUUGGGUAACACUAACUGGAGGACCGAACCGACUAAUGUUGAAAAAUUAGCGGAUGACUUGUGGCUGGGGGUGAAAGGCCAAUCAAACCGGGAGAUAGCUGGUUCUCCCCGAAAGCUAUUUAGGUAGCGCCUCGUGAAUUCAUCUCCGGGGGUAGAGCACUGUUUCGGCAAGGGGGUCAUCCCGACUUACCAACCCGAUGCAAACUGCGAAUACCGGAGAAUGUUAUCACGGGAGACACACGGCGGGUGCUAACGUCCGUCGUGAAGAGGGAAACAACCCAGACCGCCAGCUAAGGUCCCAAAGUCAUGGUUAAGUGGGAAACGAUGUGGGAAGGCCCAGACAGCCAGGAUGUUGGCUUAGAAGCAGCCAUCAUUUAAAGAAAGCGUAAUAGCUCACUGGUCGAGUCGGCCUGCGCGGAAGAUGUAACGGGGCUAAACCAUGCACCGAAGCUGCGGCAGCGACACUAUGUGUUGUUGGGUAGGGGAGCGUUCUGUAAGCCUGUGAAGGUGGCCUGUGAGGGUUGCUGGAGGUAUCAGAAGUGCGAAUGCUGACAUAAGUAACGAUAAAGCGGGUGAAAAGCCCGCUCGCCGGAAGACCAAGGGUUCCUGUCCAACGUUAAUCGGGGCAGGGUGAGUCGACCCCUAAGGCGAGGCCGAAAGGCGUAGUCGAUGGGAAACAGGUUAAUAUUCCUGUACUUGGUGUUACUGCGAAGGGGGGACGGAGAAGGCUAUGUUGGCCGGGCGACGGUUGUCCCGGUUUAAGCGUGUAGGCUGGUUUUCCAGGCAAAUCCGGAAAACCAAGGCUGAGGCGUGAUGACGAGGCACUACGGUGCUGAAGCGACAAAUGCCCUGCUUCCAGGAAAAGCCUCUAAGCAUCAGGUAACAUCAAAUCGUACCCCAAACCGACACAGGUGGUCAGGUAGAGAAUACCAAGGCGCUUGAGAGAACUCGGGUGAAGGAACUAGGCAAAAUGGUGCCGUAACUUCGGGAGAAGGCACGCUGAUAUGUAGGUGAAGCGACUUGCUCGUGGAGCUGAAAUCAGUCGAAGAUACCAGCUGGCUGCAACUGUUUAUUAAAAACACAGCACUGUGCAAACACGAAAGUGGACGUAUACGGUGUGACGCCUGCCCGGUGCCGGAAGGUUAAUUGAUGGGGUUAGCGGCAACGCGAAGCUCUUGAUCGAAGCCCCGGUAAACGGCGGCCGUAACUAUAACGGUCCUAAGGUAGCGAAAUUCCUUGUCGGGUAAGUUCCGACCUGCACGAAUGGCGUAAUGAUGGCCAGGCUGUCUCCACCCGAGACUCAGUGAAAUUGAACUCGCUGUGAAGAUGCAGUGUACCCGCGGCAAGACGGAAAGACCCCGUGAACCUUUACUAUAGCUUGACACUGAACAUUGAGCCUUGAUGUGUAGGAUAGGUGGGAGGCUUUGAAGUGUGGACGCCAGUCUGCAUGGAGCCGACCUUGAAAUACCACCCUUUAAUGUUUGAUGUUCUAACGUUGGCCCGUAAUCCGGGUUGCGGACAGUGUCUGGUGGGUAGUUUGACUGGGGCGGUCUCCUCCUAAAGAGUAACGGAGGAGCACGAAGGUUGGCUAAUCCUGGUCGGACAUCAGGAGGUUAGUGCAAUGGCAUAAGCCAGCUUGACUGCGAGCGUGACGGCGCGAGCAGGUGCGAAAGCAGGUCAUAGUGAUCCGGUGGUUCUGAAUGGAAGGGCCAUCGCUCAACGGAUAAAAGGUACUCCGGGGAUAACAGGCUGAUACCGCCCAAGAGUUCAUAUCGACGGCGGUGUUUGGCACCUCGAUGUCGGCUCAUCACAUCCUGGGGCUGAAGUAGGUCCCAAGGGUAUGGCUGUUCGCCAUUUAAAGUGGUACGCGAGCUGGGUUUAGAACGUCGUGAGACAGUUCGGUCCCUAUCUGCCGUGGGCGCUGGAGAACUGAGGGGGGCUGCUCCUAGUACGAGAGGACCGGAGUGGACGCAUCACUGGUGUUCGGGUUGUCAUGCCAAUGGCACUGCCCGGUAGCUAAAUGCGGAAGAGAUAAGUGCUGAAAGCAUCUAAGCACGAAACUUGCCCCGAGAUGAGUUCUCCCUGACUCCUUGAGAGUCCUGAAGGAACGUUGAAGACGACGACGUUGAUAGGCCGGGUGUGUAAGCGCAGCGAUGCGUUGAGCUAACCGGUACUAAUGAACCGUGAGGCUUAACCUUACAACGCCGAAG